rnacentral:rRNA from 1 species
GACGGGGGGUCCAAGCGUUGUUCGGAAUCAUUGGGCGUAAAGCGUGUGCAGGUGGUUUUGUAAGUUGGAUGUGAAAGCCCCGAGCUUAACUUGGGAAGUGCAUUCAAAACUGCAAAACUUGAGUAUGGAAGAGGGUCGUGGAAUUCCUGGUGUAGUGGUGAAAUACGUAGAUAUCAGGAGGAACACCGGUGGCGAAGGCGGCGACCUGGUCCUAUACUGACACUCAUACACGAAAGCGUGGGGAU